rnacentral:misc_RNA from 1 species
GAUGAAGAACGUAGCGAAAUGCGAUAAGUAAUGUGAAUUGCAGAAUUCAGUGAAUCAUCGAAUCUUUGAACGCACAUUGCGCCCGCCAGCAUUCUGGCGGGCAUGCCUGUUCGAGCGUCAUUUCAACCCUCAAGCUCUGCUUGGUGUUGGGGCCCUACGGUUGACGUAGGCCCUUAAAGGUAGUGGCGGACCCUCUCGGAGCCUCCUUUGCGUAGUAACUACGUCUCGCAUUGGGAUUCGGAGGGACUCUUGCCGUAAAACCCCCAAAUUUUCUAAUGGUUGACCUCGGAUCAGGUAGGAAUACCCGCUGAACUUAAGCAUAUCAAUAAGCGGAGGA